CCCACUCAGGACAUCCUUACCACCGUCCUUACGGCAGCCCACAGAGCUGGCGGGCCCGGCCCCUCUACCCUUGGCUGACCUGCUCCCACCUAGUCUGCUCGGUAGCUCCUUCCAGCCUCGCUGACCUGCCCGUUGUCCCUGGAAUGCAUUGAGCGAACACUCCUAGAGGGCCUUUGCACUACUGUCCCUGCCUGGAAUGUUCUUUCCUCAUGCGUCCCCAUCCUCACUUCCCCACGUCUCUCAGGUUUCUGUUGAGAGGUCAUCUUAUCCAAGGGGACUUUCUUGACAGCCCUGCCCAGCACCAGCCACCCCGUCACUCAGUCUCCUUACCCCAUUCAGCCUUCCUGCAUAGCACUUCUACAUCCUAAAGUGUGUGUGUGUGUCUGAUUGCCAAACUUCUCCUGCUAAGAUGGAAGUUCCUUGAGAGCAGAGAUUGUACCGGGCUCACUGCAUCGGAGCCAGCACCCAGCACCGUCCUGACAGUCAGUGGGCACUUAGUGAAUGCUGAAUGAAUGGAUGUUGAGUGGAUGACAACCUGACUCUCCAGACUGCGUGUGAGCACAGAGGACGGACCAUUUUCCAAAUGCACUUCACUCUGAGAGGCCUCAGAUGCUCUGUCAUCAGCGCUGACUCCCUCCAUGGACGAGAAGACCCCAGGCAAAUUGUUAACAUCAACCAAAGCCCUAAAAGUGAUUCUGGCAGCAAAUGAGCAUGUGUCUGCGAAGCAGGUGAAGGGCCCGGGACUCUGGGCUGGACACAUUGGCGGCUGCAGGCCUGAGAAGACCCCACCGGGCGGGAGGUGCUGAGCCCUAUUGCAGGAUGCCCCGGCUGUCCCCCAGGGACCCCCGCUUUGAAGGCGUGUCCCCCAAAUUUCCUUGACUGGGAUCCUGGCAGGAAACAGAUGGCUCAUGAAAGGAGUCAUUGUGAGGACUGUCAACAGAAGCACGAACAGAGCAAGAAAACCAGCAAGGGGAUGAUGAGGCACCCGGGGGCGGGCAGCAGAGUGAAGCUGCUCCCACCUGAGGCUUCACCAUGAGGGAGGAGAGCCCAGCCCGGCCCAGGGACAUCGCUGGCCACCACAGAUAAACGUUCACUUUGAAUUGCAGGGACCACCGUUUCCAAAUUAAAGUAGCCACUGUCUGAAAGACGCGAGCCUGUGGCUUCCCGGAGUGAGAGGCAGUCGCAGAGAUGGUGUUGAGAUGCCCUAAAGAUCAGAAACACUGGAACAUUUCAGCAGCUUUGGGGGACAGAGUAUUUGCGAUCAGGACUGUACUUUGGGAUGCAGAAGCUUUGGCUAGGGGGCUUCUGC